rnacentral:rRNA from 1 species
UACGGGGGGGGCAAGCGUUGUUCGGAAUUACUGGGCGUAAAGGGCUCGUAGGUGGCCAACUAAGUCAGACGUGAAAUCCCUCGGCUUAACCGGGGAACUGCGUCUGAUACUGGAUGGCUUGAGUUCGGGAGAGGGAUGCGGAAUUCCAGGUGUAGCGGUGAAAUGCGUAGAUAUCUGGAGGAACACCGGUGGCGAAGGCGGCAUCCUGGACCAUUACUGACGCUGAGGAGCGAAAGCCAGGGGAGCAAACGGG